rnacentral:rRNA from 1 species
CACGUAGGGUGCGAGCGUUGUCCGGAAUUAUUGGGCGUAAAGAGCUCGUAGGCGGUGUGUCGCGUCGGCCGUGAAAACCCAGGGCUUAACCCUGGGCCUGCUUCCGAUACGGGCAGACUAGAGGUAUGCAGGGGAGAACGGAAUUCCUGGUGUAGCGGUGAAAUGCGCAGAUAUCAGGAGGAACACCGGUGGCGAAGGCGGUUCUCUGGGCAUUACCUGACGCUGAGGAGCGAAAGUGUGGGGAGCGAACAGG